AGUACACAUACUUAUUAUUUGCCUCCCCAACCCGUUUGUUUUGAUUUUCAGCAAUUACCACCAUAUACGGUCACCUUCACCGAUAAACGUGUGUCGAACAGCUCUUUGGGAUGCUAUUGUUAGUUUACAAGAGCACAGGCUAAAUGACGCUCGUUAUUAUAUUAAAUCGGGGUCGUUUGAUAAAAACAUCACAGUUUAUCGUUUUGGGGUCCUACCUUGUUGUGGGCAUCUGUGUGGCGGAUUACGUUCCGUAGCAAAGUUUUUCCGACCGUCUGCUUCGACAUGAUGAUAACCUGAAGAAAAUAUACGUAAGAGGAAAAAAUGUGAAGAAUGGAUCAACUUGCACGGACGUCCAAAAGACCAGUUUAACACCAGCAAGGUGGAAAACACUGUUUGGCAAGGGAAGACAAAUUGAUGUGCCUCACAACAACAAGUACUGUACGUCGAUGGACACAUAUUGAGACUACGUGCGUUCUACUUUGAUGAGGGAAGGUUCGACUUAUGCACCACCUUUGUUAAUAUUUUUCUCAUAAUUUUAUUAGUGCUGUCAAAUUUAUCGCGUUAACGGGCGGUAAUUAAUUUUAAAAAAAAUUAAUCUCGUUAAAAUAUUUGACGCAUUUAACGCAUGCGCUGAAUGACCCGCUCAUGCAUUGCCUCAAACAGAUUACAAUAACGCCGUUUUUUUGCACAUUCCCGGGACACCCCGCAUAUAUCAAUUUAUGUAUACAUUAUUAUUAUUAUUGUUGUGGCAUUUCUUCACAGGUCAGAGAAAAUCCUUAUUCUAUGUUCCUCAUUCUUGCAACUGUUUCCCACUGUUGUUCGUAUUUGUCCAUUUUAUUUGUCUGUUUGGCAGGUAUUUUCUCUAAUGUUAUGUAUUGAAUGAUUACAGUUAGCCAUUGGUUCAUUAUUUUUUGUUUUUCUAAUUGUUUUUCCAAUUCAGCAAUAUUGUUUUUUUUUUUGGCUAUCGUUAAACUUGCCAGUAGUAGACGGGCUUGAUGAUUUGAGAUAUUUACUGUAUUCAGAUCACCAAGCAGACAAAGAUUUGGAGACAAUGGAAUCCUGCAGUUCAAAAAGGGAAGAGAGUUUCUUCGUUACCUGUGACCAGAACUCUUGUACUGG